GGAAUAGACUAAAAAGAAUUCAGAAAACUCCACAUCAAAUAGGCCCAUCCCAAAGAAAGACCAGGCAAUGCGGAAUAAUCUUGAUUAACAGAUGUAGAAAAUAAAUGCAUAUUUUUCAAUUCAAUAAGGGACACUGUUGAGAGACAGACGCGUCGAAAUCAAAAUUUGUGAACUGACAAGGAUCAAUAAGAAAAGUGUAGAAAAGUACUC
rnacentral:misc_RNA from 1 species